UCUCCGGGCCUCGUCGGACGGGGCUUCCGGCCGGGGUGGGCAAUGAAGCAAUCGCACGUCCUCAGCUUUGCAAAUGCCGCGAUCCUUUAGGUGUUUACUCGCGCUUCAGGAAGCUACUGGGUGUUGCUUCCUUCUCAGCAAUUAAGUAAUGCGAUGUGUGUUUGGGGUGGGGAAAAACCCCCUCCAGUGACUGGGAAUGCUGUGACUUGUCGGACUCUUUUGUAUAAACGUGCAUAGGAUAGUGCUCUAAAGAAUUUUUGCACGGUCAGGAUUGCAUUGCCAUCCGAUCUGAAACGUGCUUACGCGGGAGUAAGUGGAGUAACUGCGUUUGGAUGGGGACUUCAAUAGGACAGCCCUGUUCAUGUUGUUGAACGGCACUUACUCAAAAGCAAUACAAUCAACACAACAACAGUUAUGACUGAACAUCACUGACCAAACAACGCAUCAACAUCAUUGCUACCUCCACCAGGACCGACAACUCUAAUUACUUACUGAAAUCUAGGAAGAAGAAACAGACGGAAUAGCUGCACAGAAGGUUUAGUAGCACCAGAAGGCCUUUGUCUGGAAGAACCCCUCAUCUCCUGGUCCUGGAAACCUGUCAGUUCCCUUGCAGGUGCUGCUCCUGUAUCAUGACUCCAUCUAGCUGGGUGUGAUUGAUACUGAUGGGGAGCCGUGAGCCCCAGAUUUCAGGCAGACACUGAGGCCCAUCAGACCUUCCGCGUGCUGGGCCCAUUGCCUGCUAUGGAGCUCUGACCCCUCUGGCUCGGGCUUAGUGACCAUCUCGGUCUUUGGUGACUAAGGCCCUCCCCUGUGGCAACAGAAGAAUGCCCAGGCCAUCACCCCACAAACAACCCAUGGAUUCACCAGCGUUUGUUGCCGGCUUCACUGCUGGAUCGGUUAGGCCCUCCACUGCCCUGAUGCAAGUGAUUCCACCAUGCACUACAAGCUGCCUGGGAAGGCCUCAGCAGUUGUAGGCAGUCUAUAAAUACACAUAUAAACAAGUAAAUAAAGGGCAAAGGUCGAGUUGCUGAUUAAAAGUGGAAGGGGAGGCAUGUAAGAGGAAGCAUAGCCACUCUCUCCCCUCUGUCCCCAGCACCACACGGGCUGCUCAACCCAUGGGCUUCCCUGUUCUGCAAGCCACCCCGAAGAGGUCAUGGCUGCACUCGCCCUUGUCCCCGACUUCCUGUGGUUCGGCAAAGGCUCUCGGCCACACCCCUCCCCAGGCCUCAGUGUUCAAUUUUUAUUUUCGAAAGGGAUCCUUUUAUCCUUGUCUUUGAGAUGCUGCAAAGAGAACCAUGACUUCCGGCUGCCCAACACUCCCCAUUCCCAUUCCCUGCAGGGCCUCCAGUCCCCAGAGACAUUUUUCUGGAGGAUCUUUUGAAGCAGGUGCUCUGUUUUCUGUCCACACUCAAAAACUCUCUUUUUAAACGGGGAAAAGAAAAAACUGCUGCUGGAUGAGCUUCUAAGGCUGAGGUGGCAGUGCCAAAUACCUGGGCUUCUGGGGAAAGUGACCUGGGGGGAGCCAUGGGGCAGGGCUGGGCACGUAACAGGGACUGACCUGCAGAGCUGGAGGGCUUGGCUGCUAGGAAGAGAGACGGGGAAAUUGGCAAAAUUUGAUUUUGUCACAAUUCUCCAAUUUCCACCUUGAUGUUCAACUUGAGUCUGCGCAAGAUUGCAACUUGUGUACGUUUUUCCUUUCUUUUGGGUGUUCAGGUACCUGACUCAAUGUGCGUAUAAAAGUACUCAGGGUUCUCCCA